GUGAAUCAUCGAAUUUUUGAACGCAAAUUGCACUUUCUGGUAUUCCGGAAAGUAUGCCUGUUUGAGGGUCAGUUAAAUUAAAAUUGGUUGUGUUUCUGCUUUUUGUUGUUACCCGUCGGAAUUGAGUUGGUUUACCUUCGGUUUAGUUACUUUAAAUUUUGCAUUAUUUUCUAACGUAGUUAAAUUUCUUACUUGCGUUUGUUA
rnacentral:misc_RNA from 1 species